UUCGGGCCAGCGCCCUCACCGACACCGUGUUCCCGCCGGGGGCAAGUUCUUCCCUUCGAGAUCCGAGCCUUCACCCUGCGCCUGGACGCUGAGGCUGUGAUGUGGGUUCUUGUGCCUGUUUCAGGAUAGUUUUCGGAGGUGAACUUGGGCAAACUCUGGGAGAUGGUGAGGGGACUGGGAUGCCUGGUGAGCUGUAGUCCACGGGGUCGCAAAGAGUCAGACACCACUGGGCCACUGAACAACUAAGAGGCUUCCCUGGUGGCUCAGUGGUAAAGAAUCUGCCUGCCAACACAGGAGACACCGGUUUGAUCCCUGCUCCUGGAAGAUCCCAGUACCGGGAAGCAACUAAGCCCGUGCACCCCAACUAUUAUGCCUGCGCUAUAAAGCCCAGGAGCUGCCAACUACUGAAGCCCACGUGCCCAAGAGCUUUGUUCUGCAGCAAGAGAAUCCAUCACGACGAGAAGCCUGCACACCGCGACUAGAGUAGGCCCCACUCGCCACAACUCGAGGAAAGCCCACACAGCAACAAAGCCCAGCACAGCCAAAAAUAAAUAAAUAAAUAAAAGAAAAUAAUAAAAAAAGAAAAUCUGUUUUCCGUCUUCCAUGCAUGUAAUUGAUUGACAGCACUGCCGGGGGUCAACAGGACAGACCUGGGCCCUGAGCCUCACAGGUGACAGCACCAGAGCUUUUGCUUGGCUAUCUUUUGUUUCAAAUCGUUUCUUGGCCCAAUACUCAAGUGUCACUCGUUUUCUUUCCUCGGUUCCCCACUGUUAAGGGUAUGUAGCUGGAAGCUCCUAUUUUUUUUUUUUUAGUAUGAUCAUGUACAUCAACCACUCAACUAUGGACUGGGGGUGCUUCUCCUUGUGCAGAAGUUGUGAUAUGGAGAUAUAAGAUGUCUCAGUCUGAGAAAGCUCCCAAACAGACUGGGGCGAGAAGAAAGAGAAGAGUUACAUUCAGAAAUAAUGACAAAGUAAGCUAUGAUAUCCAGCAUAAAAUUAUAAACUGAGAAAAGGAAGAGAAAAAAAAGCACAAGGGUCUGGAAAGGCUUAAUGAAGAACUGGAAUGUGAGCUGGGAAGGAUUCAUAUGGAUGGGGAGGAAAGGAAACGGACCAGUGGCUGAGAAUGAAUCCCAGUGGAAGGCAUUGUGGAACAGCAGACAGGACUCUGCCUGGAGCCAGGCAUACAAAGACUUGAUCCUGUAGUGCCUUCUUGGACUUCUUAUACAAAACAAGAGACUGGAUUAGAAUGAUUUCAAAGGUCCACGCAAGUUCUAUGAGCAUCAGUUUAUUGGUGCUUAUCUAGAAGUAUUUAUUGAAGGGAUGGGAGACUGAGGAUUAAUAGGAAUAGGAAGAUUCUGGGGUAGUCUAGGUGUGAAAAAUUGGGGGUAAGGGGUAGGAGACUACUUGUCUUUUCUCUAAAAAUAAAUUCAUAUUCAUUAUUUUAAAAACAUUAAGUGCACCGAAUCCUCUUGGUUAAAAUAUUCACACAGUCCCCUCCUCUACCUUGUGUCAACUGGCACAAAAGAAUUCUAGAAGAAUGUGGCCCAAAGAAUACUUCCAGAGAAAUAGCUAUUGAAAGAAUUCUGGGCUUAAAAGUAGGAUCCUAGGGGAAAUUUUGCCUCUAUCAUGUAUUAGCUGGGCGAUACAAGAUGAGUCACUUGACUUCUCUGAAUCUGAGUUUUCUCAGUCGUAAAAUAGGUCAAGAAUUCCUUUCUCAAAGGAAUGCUUUAAGGAUCAAACAAGAUAAUGUUUGUGAAGAGGGUUUAUAUGCUAUCAAGUACUAAACAAAUAUAUUUGCACAUAGGUAAGAUGGACAGGGAGGCCUGGUGUGCUGCGAUUCAUGGGGUUGCAGAGUCCGGCACAACUGAGCGACUGAACUGAACUGAACUGAAGAUCAUAACUGGACAAACAACUUGGUCUGGUCUUGGGCAUUCAUCCAACCAACUGAAUGCUCACCGUGGGCCAAGCUCCAUGGUGAACCCUGAGAACGUUAAGACUCUGAAGAACUCUGCCUUCACUGAGGUCCUAUUCUAGCUGGGUGGUGUAUGUAAUGUUUUUACAGAGGUGAUGAUAGUUAAACGUUUAAAUUUAAAAACAACUUCAUGCUUUAAUUAUUAUGUAAACUGAAACUUUGUUUAAAGAUUUAAGUCAGUCUUAGGGCAGUCAAAUUCAUAGACACAAGAAAAGAGUAGAAGGGCAGUUGCCAGGGAGCGGGGGUGAGGGAGGAAGAAUGGGAGUUGGUGUUGAAUGGGUCCAGGGUUUCAGCUUGGGAAGACAAAAAAAAAAAGAGUUCUGGAACGCGCUUCCCUGGUGGUUCUGUGGUAAAGAACCUGCCUGCCAAUGCAGGACACGUGGGUUCGAUUACUGGUCCAGGAAGAUCCCGUGUGCCUCGGGGCAGUUGAGUCCGUGUGCCACGACUGCUGAGCCAGCACGCACCCUAGAGCCCUUGUUCCACAAGAGAAGCCAACGCAACGAGAAGCCAGCAUGCUGCAACUAGAGAGCAGAACUUGCCCUCCUCAACUAGAACAAAGCCUGAGCAGCAAUGAAGAACCAGAAUGACUAAAUAAAGAAAUAAAUAUUUUUAAAAAAUAAGAAAAAAAAGAGUUCUUGAAAGGAUCAUGUUGAUGGUUGCACGACAGUGUGAAUGGAUGCACUUCAUGAAGGGAUAAUUAGGAAAUGUGGGAUGGACAUGUACGCUCUGCUAUAUUUAAAAUGGAUAACCAACAAGGACCUACUCUGUAGCACAAGGAACUCUGCUCAAUAUUAUUUGGAAGCCUGGGUAGGAGGGGGUUUGGGGGGAGAAUAGAUACAUGUAUAUAUUUGGUUGAGUCCCUUUGCUGUUCACCUGAAACUUUCAUGACAUUUUUAAUUGGCUGUAUCCCAGUACAAAAUUAAAAGUCCAAAAAUAAAUAAAUAAAUAAAAAUACAUUAGAACUUCUAAGAUAUUUUAAAAAUGGUAUCAAUAGUAAAGUUUAGGUUAUGCAUAAUUCACUCAAUUAAUGAUUAAUAAUGAUUAAUAAUUUAAAUAAUAACUUAAAGCUAAUCUGAACCAAUCUUAAAUCAGUACUCACGAAGG